rnacentral:sRNA from 1 species
AAAAAAAAUGGGCUCACGCCCAUCUUCUUGCCGGUGGUCGCACCUGAGCCGCACAGAUAAAAAACCGCACGCCCAGCGACUCCGAGAGUUUAGCAUUUU